CCGGGUCCCCAAGCGGCCACCCGGUCCUUGAGGACGUCCCGUCCCAAGUGCCGC
rnacentral:ncRNA from 1 species